rnacentral:rRNA from 1 species
UACCAGCACCCCGAGUGGUCGGGACGAUUAUUGGGCCUAAAGCAUCCGUAGCCGGUUUUACAAGUCCUCCGUUAAAUCCAACUGCUUAACAGAUGGGCCGCGGAGGAUACUAUAAGACUAGGAGGCAGGAGAGGGUAGUGGAUUUCCCGGUGUAGUGGUGAAAUGCGUAGGUAUCGGGAGGAACACCAGUGGCGAAGGCGACUACCUGGCCUGUUCUUGACGCUGAGGCGCGAAAGCUAGGGGAGCAAACGGG